rnacentral:rRNA from 1 species
CCCUUAGAUGUUCUGGGCUGCACGCGCGCUACACUGAUGCGCUCAACGAGUUUUAACCUUGCCUGGAAAGGUUGGGUAAUCUUUUUAAAACGCAUCGUGAUGGGGAUAGAUUAUUGCAAUUAUUAAUCUUCAACGAGGAAUUCCUAGUAAGCGCGAGUCAUCAGCUCGUGCUGAUUACGUCCCUGCCCUUUGUACACACCGCCCGUCGCUCCUACCGAUUGAAUGGUCCGGUGAAAUCUUGGGAUUUUGUUUUGUUUGCAUUUAUUUGUAUCGAGACGAGAGAACUUGAGUAAACCUUACCAUUUAGAGGAAGGUGAAGUCGUAACA